AAACUUACUUGGACGAGGUCAAUGAGUGAUCAACAACUCUCAUGGUCUAGGUUGGUGACCUCCAUUGCACUGUGGAGGGGUGUUUGCCUAAGGUCGACCCAAGUGGUCGAGUUUACGUCAUAAAUCAUCAGACAUUUUUUAUGAAACAAGUCUAU